rnacentral:rRNA from 1 species
AUUGAACGCUGGCGGCAGGCUUAACACAUGCAAGUCGAGCGGAGCGAAGGUGCUUGCACCUUAGCUUAGCGGCGGACGGGCGAGUAAUGCUUAGGAAUCUGCCUAUUAGUGGGGGACAACGUUUCGAAAGGAACGCUAAUACCGCAUACGUCCUACGGGAGAAAGCAGGGGAUCUUCGGACCUUGUGCUAAUAGAUGAGCCUAAGUCGGAUUAGCUAGUUGGUGGGGUAAAGGCCUACCAAGGCGACGAUCUGUAGCGGGUCUGAGAGGAUGAUCGGCCACCCUGGGACUGAGACACGGCCCAGGCUCCUACGGGAGGCAGCAGUGGGGAAUAUUGGACAAUGGGCGAAAGCCUGAUCCAGCCAUGCCGCGUGGGUGAAGAAGGCCUUUUGGUUGUAAAGCACUUUAAGCGAGGAGGAGGAGCUUCAGGUUAAUACCCUGGAUGCUUGGACGUUACUCGCAGAAUAAGCACCGGCUAACUCUGUGCCAGCCGCCGCGGUAA